GUCAUCUACCGUCAUCUAGUGUCAUAUACCGUCAUCUACCGUCAUCUAGUGUCAUCUAACGUCAUCUAGUGUAAUCCACCGUCAUCUAGUGUCAUCUACCGUCAUCUAGUGUCAUCUAACGUCAUCUAGUGUCAUCUACUGUCAUCUACUGUCAUCUACCGUCAUCUAGUGUUAUCUAGUGUCAUCUACUGUCAUCUACUGUCAUCUACCGUCAUCUAUUGUCAUCUACUGUCAUCUACCGUCAUCUACCGUCAUCUACUGUCAUCUACUGUCAUCUACCGUCAUCUACCGUCAUCUAGUGUCAUCUAGUGUCAUCUACCGUCAUCUACCGUCAUCUACCGUCAUCUACUGUCAUCUACUGUCAUCUACUGUCAUCUACCGUCAUCUACCGUCAUCUACUGUCAUCUACUGUCAUCUACUGUCAUCUACCGUCAUCUAGUGUCAU